rnacentral:pre_miRNA from 1 species
CUUAUACUCCCUCCAUCCGGAAAUACUUGUCAUCGAAAUGGAUAAAAAGGGAUGUAUCUAGAUGUAUUUUAGUUCUAGAUACAUCUCUUUUUAUCCAUUUUGAUGACAAAUAUUUUUGGACGGAGGGAGUAGUAC